rnacentral:ncRNA from 1 species
AAUGGGCAAAACUGUCGAAAGGCAGUGACGCAAAGCCAAAUGGGUCUAAGGCUCUCAGGAGCUAUGACAGCCGGUUGCC